UACGGAGGGUGCAAGCGUUAUCCGGAUUUACUGGGUUUAAAGGGUGCGUAGGUGGGUCUGUAAGUCAGUGGUGAAAUCUCCGGGCUUAACCCGGAAAUUGCCAUUGAUACUAUAGGUCUUGAAUCAUCUGGAGGUAAGCGGAAUAUGUCAUGUAGCGGUGAAAUGCUUAGAUAUGACAUAGAACACCAAUUGCGAAGGCAGCUUACUACGGAUGUAUUGACACUGAGGCACGAAAGCGUGGGGAUCAAAACAGG
rnacentral:rRNA from 1 species